GUGUUCUGCCAUGAAGGGAGUUGAAUUCUUCACUUGCUGGUCAACCUUCAAGCCCUUCAGACCUGCUUCUACCUCCUCCACUGAAAGCACAACCCCUGAAUGUGCUGAGAAGUUGAGAACGUCCAGGUUAAAUCAAGCAAAGAGAUAUCUGUCCCGCAGGUCCUUAUCGCUAAGACGGUGAUCCUUCUCAAAGGUCCGGGCAGAGAUUAUCCUCCCACUGCCAAUCCUACGUCCACCAAGCAGACGAAGCCCAUCACUAUCUUUCUCUAAUGGACUUCCUGAGCGCCGGGAGCUAACAGCAGCUGUCACGUGGCAGCCCCCUCCAAAGCUCCGUCUCUGAGGGCUGAGAACAACAUCUAAGUCAUCUUCUUUCACACGCUCUCGUGGAUCUGGAAGGACGUGGGAAAGACAAAGUUAAACAAACCAACAAGGGUGUUUUCUUCUUUUUUAGAUAGUAUGUCCAUGACUGAUGGGAGGAAGGGGAUGGGUGGAAGACAGUCACCACUAAAAUUGGGCUUAUCAGCAGAUUCAGGGUAACAUGUACAUUAUGUAUUUAAAUAACGCUGAGACAUUGGCCUUCCUCUUUGCAGCAAUAGAAGUACGUCACGAUAAAUAAUUUUCCAUGA